rnacentral:rRNA from 1 species
AUUGAACGCUGGCGGCAGGCCUAACACAUGCAAGUCGAGCGGAGAGGCGGAAGGGUGAGGAAUGCCUAGGAAUCUGCGUGGUAGUGGGGGAUAACGUCCGGAAACGGGCGCUAAUACCGCAUACUAGCAGAUGAGCCUAGGUCGGAGUGGCUAGUUGGUGGGGUAAAGGCCUACCAAGGCGACGAUCCGUAACUGGUCUGAGAGGAUGAUCAGUGCCACUGGAACUGAUGCACGGUCCAGACUCCUCCGGGAGGCAGCAGUGUGGAAUAUUGGACAAUGGGCGAAAGCCUGAUCCAGCCAUGCCGCUUGUGUGAAGAAGGUCUUCGGAUUGUAAAGCACUUUAAGUUGGGAGGCGUUACCAACAGAAUAAGCACCGGCUAACUACGUGCCAGCAGCCGCGGUAAUAC